rnacentral:rRNA from 2 species
ACGGGGUGCAGCAGGCGCGAAACCUUUGCAAUGUGCGCAAGCACGACAAGGUUAAUCCGAGUGUUUCCUGCUAAAGGAAUCUUUUGUUAGUCGUAAAACCACUGAUGAAUAAGGGGUGGGCAAGUUCUGGUGUCAGCCGCCGCGGUAAAACCAGCACCUCAAGUGGUCAGGAGGAUUAUUGGGCCUAAAGCAUCCGUAGCCGGCUCUGCAAGUUUUCGGUUAAAUCCAUUUGCUUAACAAAUGGGCUGCCGAAAAUACUACAUAGCUAGGGAGUGGGAGAGGUAGACGGUAUUCGGUAGGAAGGGGUAAAAUCCUUUGAUCUAUUGAGGACCACCUAUGGCGAAGGCAGUCUACCAGAACACGUUCGACGGUGAGGGAUGAAAGCUGGGGGAGCAAACCGGAUUAGAUACCCGGGUAGUCCCAGCUGUAAACGAUGCAGACUCGGUGAUGCACUGGCUUGUGGCCAGUGCAGUGCCGCAGGGAAGCCGUUAAGUUUGCCGCCUGGGAAGUACGUACGCAAGUAUGAAACUUAAAGGAAUUGGCGGGGGGGCAC